UGGGAAACUCCGCGGGAAGCAUGGACUCGUCUGUUACCAUCUUUCCCCGCACCGACGGAAGACACAGCCGGCCCGUUUCCCUCGCCGCAACAGUCGUCGCUGUCCUUCUCAUACUCGACGGCUUUUGCUGCGUCAUCACAUGUGCCCGUCCAACCCCCCCAGAAACUCGUUACGGGAUGCCUCCGGCCGUUGAUCGUUGGCGUCCGAGCUCUCCCGGAGCUACACGGGUUCUGGCGAGAGAGAUGGCGGAGUUUCCGACUGGAAUGAGGGGGGGGUUCCGAAUCUUGAAAGUAACUCCAAGGCCACCACCACCACCUAUGUCGAGGCCCACCUCCCACUACAUCAUCAACCCGCCGCCUCUCUACUAGGCGGAUCAAUUCAGCUUUAUCCGGCGCUGCCGCCCCCGACGGCUUGAACUGGCAAAGGCAACGAAGAGAAUGAUCACAUUGGCCUCUGGCCCCCAGUCAUGUUAGUUAUUCAUUGAUGAUGUAGAACGCAAUUCAUAUCAGUAUAAUUUGCAGCAAAAUUCCUAAAUACCUCAUUUCCUCUUUUGCUCAUCAUUUUCCUAAUGUUGUCUUGAUGUGACUACCCAAAAUGGCACAAGAAGAUUAACAAAAAUCAAAGCCUACAAGCACAUUUUUUCUUGGUUUCUUUUUUAAUACACUUCGUUGAUCAUUUUUCCUAUUUCCGAUCAUUUAAAUAACAUAUGAAAUGACAGUAAUUUCAUGACGGUAAAGCGAACUAAUAAAGAUAGUGAAAACAAAUGAUGAUCAACUCUCACCUCUUAAUAAAUUAAUUUUGGAAUUAUAUUCUUGAGGAAAAAUAUUUAACAACUAAAUUCACAUUAUAACAUGGUAUCAGAGCCAAAACCCUAGGCUUUCGUCCUCUUCCCAGUGCCGCCGUGAGUCCAGCACUGCCGCUGUUAGUCCCGUGUGAGUCCAGCGCCGUCGUGCACCACGUGUACCAUGAGAACCCAGCGCUGCCACCAGUCCGACGCCGCUGCAGACCCAGUCCGGUGCCACCGUGAGUCCAGCCGGGGCAAGAACAAUUUUCGUGUCCAAUUGAAGUGUAAACCAAGAAUGGCAAGCCGCAACUGGUACUGGGUAUGCGAUCUUGCUAUUUUCUUCUGUAUGUUGGGCAGACAUUUUGCUCAGCUUAUGUACAAGCAAAAUUGAUAUGCUUGACAUGUCGUUUUCCUAUGACAUCCCAAAUUUACUUAGCAGGUUUCCAAUUUGAAUUCAUUAAUGAUAUAAUUUUGGAGAAUUUGGUCUUCUCCAUGGAUAAAUAUUUCUUCAUUUGAUUUCAUCCCUAGUAUAUCACUGACGCAUGAACAAUGGAAAAUACCUUUUAAAAAUUUUAUUGUGAUAUUUUCUACUGCAUCAAAUAUUUUUCGUAAUCCUAAGACCACAACAUCAACUUUUCUGUGCGAACGCAGGAGAUGAACAGUUGCUCAACUGUUGUUAUCUAGGUCUUGACUGGUCCGUAAUUGUCAAUGGAGGCGAGCGAGGGCUGGCCCCCAUCCUGACGUGUUGAUCAUUAUGUUAUUUGACAGACUGAUUUGUUUUUCACUC
rnacentral:lncRNA from 1 species